GGGCUGUUGGGAGGCACAUGGACCCUGGGAGGAUGGUAGUUGCUGUAGCCCUUCUCUCACAGGAGGAAGAUACCAGGCCCCACCUUGCCUAUCCACCACGAGUCAGGCUCAGAGGUAGCCUGCACAGUGGCACUGGACCUGUAGGCGUGUAUGCACCUAUCCCCACCAGAACCUACGGUCUCAUUGAGACUUCAUCAGUUAAGGUUGUGAACUGGAUCUGGAUUGGGCUGAGCCUCCAGUCUUGCCCUCCCCCGCCCUGCCCCAGGCCAGGCCCAGUGCAUAGGCAGUGUUUUCAUCCAGAGAUUUCAGUAGACUCUCAGUGUUGAGGAUUCCUCUUGCUGGUGGAUGAGGAGGCCCUCCCAAGGCCUGGAGCCCCCUUCCUGGAGCAGAGGAGUCCAGCACACAGAGGGUUAAACGCUGAUGAUGGCUUUGUCUCUGCAUCAGUGUACAUAAUGUGCUGUGCAUUUGCAUACUGCAGUGUGCGCUCAAUUAAAAUGAACUUUUAAUUUCUUCUAAGUAAAUUACUUCUUGCCGGUACGUGAUGUGCACAAAUGUCAGAAUAAUGGGAGAGCCUUAAUGAGCUGGGGAGUAGAUCUUGUGGGGGCUGCCUGAAACAACCCCUGAAACACACGCGUCUUCAUGCCACACCAGCAUGGGGCACACCCUGUCCCUCGGGCAGGCCACACACUAACCUGUGACUGCUGGUUAUAUCCAUUCCACAGUCACUGUGUAACCCUAGCUGGGCCGUGGGUGCCCUCUCACACUGUCUCUCACUCAGCAGUGAUCUUCUCCUUGUGUGCCUCAGAUACUUGCUCACUUACAGAGAGAGGGUUUCCCUGAGGGACGUAUAGAUUCACCCAGCCUCAGUUUCCCCGUCUGCUCCUCAUCUUGGCUGUACGUGAGAAUGUAAGUUUAAAGUGUUUCAAACAGCAGUCACUGAAAUCAACAGGGAGGCAGUGCAAGCAUGGUUCCCUCCACCUGCAUGGUCCAGCAGCCUGAACCCAGACCUGUAGCACCCCACGAGGGCAGGUAACACAUUGCAUCUGGACAGAGGAGGAAUGGAAAAUCAGACCAAGACACACAGCAAGUGCAGGGAUGAAGGUUGUCACCCCAAAGCCUCACCUCAUACAUUUCAAGUAUGAGAAACUGCAAGGAACACCAGCCAUCAGCACUGCAGGCACCGAUGGGGCAAGGGGAAGCCUAGCAGAGCUCCCAGGCCCCAGUACCUGCACAGCUCAUUAGCCUCGCCUGGCACUUGUUUCAGUACCUUGGAGAGGUCCAGAAACAUGCUGUGGCCCUCCACUUCAGUUGGGUUAACCAUACCCUUUAUCCACAGAGGCAGCAGACCAGAAGCCAUUGUGGUGCCACAAGCCUAGAUCAACCUGGUUUCAGGACCACAGGUCUCAUGACCCUGACAUAAUCACUUGGAACCUCUUAGCACCUCGUCUGUGCUUGGGCCUGAGGACGCUGCAGGCCACAUUUAAAUCCCCUGCUCUAGGGGCCUACAGGAUGGCUCAGAGGGUAAAAGAUGCUUGCCACUAAGUGUGACGAUCUGAGUUUGAUCCCUGGGACCCACAUCGUAGAAGACAACUGAUUCAUACACAGUUAUCCUCCCAGUUCCACAUGUACUUGGUAGCAUGUGCACGCCCAUAUGCACACACACAUACAUGCACGCGCACACAGACACAUAUACACACCCACAUACACACACACGCUCACAUGCAUGCAUGUACAUGCACACACACACACGCACACAUACACACACAUGCAUGCAUGUUCACAUGCAUACUCGCGCACACACGUACAUGCACACCCACUCAACACAUGUACACUAAGAAUAAAUGAGACACAUACCUUCCAUCCCCCCAUUCCAAGUUGUGUUGAAGCUACUCCUAAAUGUCUCUGCGACUCUAAGACCAUGUGUGGAGCACAAACAGGUCUCCCUGGGUCUGAGCCACUGCCUGGUACAGCAGAGGCAACAGUGCCUGCCACCGCUCCCCUUCGCUAUUUGACUGCUACGAUUCAGACUUCUGACAGCCCUGACUUGGCCUCUCCUAUCUCCCCGACCCCCUUGGUGGGGCCCGACUUGUCAACAGAUCUUUCUGUGCCAGCAGCAACGGUGCCAGGAGGAGGUCUACAGACUGCGGCCUCUGUGGAAGAAGGUGGCGCCAGUCGCACAAACCUUGCUGAUAAGGUAUGGCUGCUGAAGGACGCAGAAGAGGAAGAGAUAGGGAACCACUUUCAUCGUGGAUGGAUAGAGUGAGGGAAGGGUUUUAGGGGAAGACACACCAAGCACAACCGGCAGGGACCGUACUGGAGCCCAGGCACUGUGCAGAUGCUGAAGUCUGAAAGCUGAGUCUGGGAGGGCAGAGAGACGGCUGAGCUGACAUUGUUCCAGACAAGGAAGGUGACCCUGGCGGAGGCCCGUGUAGGGCAGAAACCUUCAGAGAUACUGCCUAUGACCAGCCCAGGUUGACAGAUGGGGAACCCAGCCACGAUCCUCCCUGGGAAGUAGGGGAGGAAGCAUCUUCCUCAAUCCCAGUGGCUGAAUCUCACAGGACAAUCCUCUCUCCGGUCCCUUCCUUCCUAUUUUUCAUAUCUAUUUUCCCCCGAAGAGGCUUGACAACUGCCACUCCCCUGGAAUUUGGGAUCUGCAUACUCAGGUGUGUACACGUGUGUGUGUGUGUGUGUGUGUGUGUGUGUGUGUAUGCUCGUGUAUGCAUGUGGGCAUGUCAGGUAUGUGGGCACGCCUGUGUGCACACAGGAGGUAGCGACAGCCCAGCUCUCCCCCCACAUUGGUGAAAUUUACAUUGAAC
rnacentral:lncRNA from 1 species